UACGUAGGGGGCUAGCGUUGUCCGGAAUUAUUGGGGCGUAAAAGGGCUCGUAGGCGGCCAACUAAGUCGGAUGUGAAAUCCCCAGGCUCAACCUGGGAACUGCAUCCGAUACUGGAUGGCUUGAAUCCGGGAGAGGGAUGCAGAAUUCCAGGUGUAGCGGUGAAAUGCGUAGAGUAUCUGGAGGAAUACCGGUGGCGAAGGCGGCAUCCUGGACCGGCAUUGACGCUGAGGAGCGAAAGCCAGGGGAGCAAAGCGGG
rnacentral:rRNA from 1 species